CAAUAAAGCUGUCAGCCUUCAGGUGGGUGAGCUCUCACAGUUGUUCUUCCUGCCUUCUGGGUCUCACCACUGGAAGUUGGAGUUUCUUUUUGAGCUGGAUUUUCUUUAAACAGCCUCACAUACAUUCUGCUUGGAAACAGUGCCCCAGGAAGAGUGAAAAUGUCAUCCAGCACUAUGCAAUGUGGACAGGACUUGUAGCAACAGACAACAUCUUGAAUUCAAUCUGUGAAGGUGACUGCUGCAUAAAGAG